rnacentral:tRNA from 1 species
GAUGUGAUAGCUUAAUAAAAGCACCUCAUUGAAAAUGAGAAAGAUGGUUGCUCUUAUGUACCUUGUGUCA